ACCGAAAUAGCUCAUUUGGGAGAGCGUUAGACUAUAGAUCAAAAAGUCCUGGGUUCGAUCCCGAGUCCUGGCA
rnacentral:tRNA from 1 species